UAUAUUUCUUUCUUAAAUGCGUAUAUCCGUACGUUCAAUUCGUAGUGUUUUUAUUUUGGUUUUACGCUUGAGUCGAAAUAUUUCAUAUAACAGUUUCGUUUUGUUUUGAUUUUACACUCGAGGAAAGUAUUUCUUAUAACGUCUUUCCACGUCGUGCCAUGUUUGGCAUGUUUCGAUUGUUGCCAAACUUCGAGUAUAUCUUUCUUUCUCUAAUCCAAUUCGAUAAUCGAAAUCGCGGUGCGAAGUGUCACUCUUCUGUGAACAAUCGUGGCGUUCAGACGUUUCAGAUUUCUGAUAUAAUCUACAAGGCGGGAAAAAACUUCCAAUAUGGACGCCAUAAUGAACAUUCGAUGCAUUCAUCAUAAUGGCGACUUGUCAUAAAGAAACGAACGAUCUGGUGCACGCACGUAUUCCGCCAGGCACCAUUUUAUUCCACUUACAUCUAUGAGCGUCUGGCAAGUACCCAAUGCUCGUUGAUAAAACGAAAGCUCUUUGCCUGUCCUUUGUGGCUUUUCUCUUGUGCUUUCGUUCUUGAAAAAAAAAAAAAAAAAAAAAAAAAGAAAUAUAAUUUCGUUAAAGUUACAAUAACAUUCCAUCGUCGUUUCUACUACGAGCACGUAGUAGUAUUCACCAACAUUUGCCCGCGUGCUAAUUGCCGCAAAUAAUUAUCCCAAACGAUUCAGACUCGGACGUUUCGCGCAAUGUAAGAGCGCUAUUCCGAUUUUAUAGCACUUCGAGUCGAAAGUGGAAGAUCUUCUUCCCUCUGUUCAACUAUUUCGCGGUUUUGCCGAGGAAUUUAACGAACGAAACCGUCCCUCCUCGGCGUCGCGGUUUAUUUGCGUAUAAAAAGAAACGUUGUGAAGAGGAAUCGUGAAAUUGAUGAACAGGUUUCCGUGGUAAAUUUAGAAAACGGCUCCUCUACGGAAGUUGGCGACUGUUCGAUAUUCUGGUCGGUUUUCGAUACAAACGACCAACGUGAUGGCUAAGUAUAAGUAACGCCGUUUCGUUGAAAUACAAUAUUCGCUGCAUCCGCAAUUCUCGUCGAACAGUUGUGAAUGCGAUUAAUAGAGCGAAUAACGCGAUAACAUGGAAGAAUUUAUAUCGUCGACUUGAAAAGGUAAGGGUUAAAAGAUGAGUGAAAAAGUUAGAAGUAAAGAAGGCAGGGAAAUAAUAAUAAAGUAUUUUCGUAGAAUUUUAUUAAUAAUUAUUCGUAUCAGGAAUGUCCAAUAAUAAUAAUAUUGCACCAGCUCGAAAAAUGUACAAAAAUUAGAUUUUUAAAACGAAGACGAUUCACUCGUACGAUGGAACGAUAAUUUCCAUGUUAAUUUAACAAAAUUAACUUAUCGAAUCGAUACACUCCCUCCAAAAAUCUUUUUUCUCUUCGAGAAACUUUUUUUCCACGUACGAAUUCGAUUGAAUUUUCACACACGAAAACGAAGAGAAUUUUGCAAAAAAAAAAAAAAAAAAA